ensembl:snoRNA Gm25631 small nucleolar RNA SNORA17
CCUGCCCCUAGAGUUUGCAAAUGUAGCUGCUGUGUCACAUGUGCACCAGAAGGUGGCAGAGAGGAGAGAGAUGAUGUUGAUGCUCAGUGUUGUGACCUAGGAACAUUUAAAUGAUAAGUAGCCUAACAUU